rnacentral:rRNA from 1 species
AUGAUGCAGCAGGUCAUGCAGCUGCACCUCAACGGUGCCAACCACCCGGCGCAGCGCCUCUUCGUCGACACCCCCUCCCCCAUCAUCGCCACUCAGCCGACACGUCGCUCUGCCGCACCACCCAAGAGCAGAGCCGCCUCCGUCCCCGUCAGGCACAGCAUGCACCAGGCUGCUCAGCAGUCCAGCGUCCCGGUGGCAAAGAGGGCGUCCCUAUUGCUGGUCAAGCGCCUCGGCAUGCUGGGACCCAAGGAGAAGAUGACUGCAAAGGCGGCAGAAGCUCUCAUUCGCUGCUUCGACGAGCCGCUGACGGAUGAGGACAUUUCCAUCAUCGCCAAGCUCACGCGCCUCGACCCGGCGGCUCUUCGCAUUGCAGGGAGCAUGGCAGGCCCUGAUGCUGACGCGGACGCCGCGGCUUAG